rnacentral:RNase_P_RNA from 1 species
UGCCGAUGGCAGAUGGUCGCUGGCGAGUCUCGCGUUUGCGAGGCUCGCUAGAGGAAAGUCCGAACACCAUACGGCGGCAUGCCGCGUAAAACACGCGGGCAUCGUGGUUGAAAAACUGCGGUGACGGAGAGUGUCACAGAAAAGAUACCGCCGGUUCUUUGGCAACAAAGCACGGGCAAGGGUGAAAAGGCGAGGUAAGAGCUCACCGCUCGCGGAGUAAUUCGCGAGGCAAGAAAAACCCCAUGCGGUGCAAGACAAAACAGAGGGAGGGCAGCCGGCCCGUUUGAUCCUCGGGUAUCGUCGCAUCACGGUUCCGCGAUUGCGGGAUCGGACUCCCGGAGCAAUCCGGGAGAGAUAAAUGAUC